UGAUCAUGUUAUAAAACAAACUGAUGAAUAUAUUAUGUUACCUUGAGUGUAAUACUAAGACUAAUAAUUUUACGUGUGCAUUUCUUCCUUUUCCUUCCAGGUGAGAAUGGAAGGUGAUGUGGAUCAUGAGUGCAUCAUUUGUUCACUGUGAAAUCAAAUCUUACCUGUCAUAUGAAGCUACAUGAUGAACACGAGAACUGAAGAAUGAUGUUUGUUGUCCCCACAUGAAGUGGUAAAAGCAGCUCCUGGAGUUUGUCUACUAAUUUCCUGCUGUGAAAAAUGAUCUUGAUAACCGCUUGAAAAAGCACAAAGAGAAACAAGAACCACUGACAGACCUGGACCCAGAUUACAUUGAAGAUGCUAAACUGUUGGCUGUUGCAGAUGUGCACUUUAGGCCCUACAACACUGUUCUGCUUGUCAUCUCAUAAAAACCUACACUUUAUGCAUAAAUUAAAAUAAUGUUGACCCUUUCCUUAAAAGUUGACUCAUUUUAAAGAUAAUUAUGAUAUGUGGACUC